CCCCUCUCAGGACCGCACCUGGAGAGUUUCCAGUACUCUACCACUCUUGGCUAUGGGAGGGAGAGUCAAGCGGAGGUAUACUCAUUCCAUUCCUAGCUUGGCCAGUGGCUAGUGAGUGGAAGGCCAUCUGCUACAAGU
rnacentral:snoRNA from 1 species